rnacentral:lncRNA from 1 species
GUCAACGUCCUGCAAGAAAGAAAAGGCAAGAACGUCAGCGAUGGCUCCACUGACUGAUUAAGGCAAAGGAAGUCGCCACUAUGCCCUGGAUCUGUUCCUGAAGGAUUACAGCAUGAAGAAAAAUAAUGUGGGUAGCCGGGCUUCAUCUUAGCAACACGAGCACCUCAUUUUGGUUUUCAGUUGGUCUUUUAAUGAACAAAUGUGUUGGAA